rnacentral:rRNA from 1 species
UACGUAGGGUGCAAGCGUUGUCCGGAAUUAUUGGGCGUAAAGAGCUCGUAGGCGGUCUGUCGCGUCUGCUGUGAAAACUCAGGGCUUAACCCUGAGCUUGCCGUGGGUACGGGCAGACUAGAGUGCGGUAGGGGAGACUGGAAUUCCUGGUGUAGCGGUGAAAUGCGCAGAUAUCAGGAGGAACACCGGUGGCGAAGGCGGGUCUCUGGGCCGUAACUGACGCUGAGGAGCGAAAGCAUGGGGAGCGAACAGG